UGCGGGUAUUGUUCUAUCGCGCCAGGUCUCGCGCCUGGUGAGGAAAGUCCGGACAACGUCGGGAGUUGCACCACCUAACUGGUGGACAUUCGAGAGAAUGAUAGAAAGUGUCACAGAAAAUAACCGUCCUGCCUAGCAGGAUAAGGGUGAAAAUGUGUGGUAAGAGCGCACAGGCGCAUUUAGUAAUAAAUGCAUCGGAUAAACCUUGCAAGUUGAAAUGCCAAAUAAAUCCGCUAACUAGCAAUAGUUUGUUCCCCGGACAGGUUCAGGCCGGCGGAAGGGUAGGCAGAUUGAGGUCUUAAGUGAUUAAGAUCCCAGAUAAAUGAUAGAAGGUCCGUAAGGAUUACAGAAUCCGGCUUACAGAUAUCCGCAUCCA
rnacentral:RNase_P_RNA from 1 species